CCCUUAGAUGUUCGGGGCCGCACGCGCGCUACACUGAAGGAAUCAGCACGUCUUUCUCCUUGUCCGAAAGGACUGGGUAACCCGCUGAACCUCCUUCGUGCUAGGGAUUGGGGCUUGUAAUUCUUCCCCAUGAACGAGGAAUUCCCAGUAAGCGCGAGUCAUAAGCUCGCGUUGAUUACGUCCCUGCCCUUUGUACACACCGCCCGUCGCUACUACCGAUUGGAUGGUUUAGUGAGAUCCUCGGAUUGGUCCCGGCGCGGUCUCUGGUCGUGCCGGAGUGCCGAAAAGAAUGUCGAACUUGAUCAUCUAGAGGAAGUAAAAGUCGUAACA
rnacentral:rRNA from 1 species